UAUAAAUGAAAUAUAUGAAGUGGUCAAUAAAAUAAAUGAUUCGGAUCAUCGAAGAGGGGCUUAUGGUAGGUCCUAUGGGCUCAAAUAGCCCCUUCUAGUCCAAAUUUUGAACUGAAGGCAAUCAUCCGCCAAUGAAAUUUAGGUAAUUUUAUUUGCAUGUUACAAGAAAUUUCAAUACAUAUCAUUUAUGUUAUUUUUUUUAUUUUUUGUUUUUUUGUUACAGGAAAAUCCUCCCACUUUCCCACAGGUCUAGAGUAGCGCCCCUUACAGAGAUCACCAAGGUGUGCUGUAGUCGGUUCUGAGUUAGGAGACUAUAACUUGAGAAUUUGCCCUAAUCUCCCAAGACAACCUCCAUUAAAAUCAGGACUCGCGCAGCGAGGGAACAUUGGACUUACACCAAGUGUUGUGGUAGCAACAACUUGAGACUAACCUCCUAACCAAUUACGCUACACUCAGGAGAUUGGCCUAAAGGGUUUCAAACUUGAGACUUGGGAUCUUAACCCCCAGACCUUUACCAAGUUGCCAAACACCCUAAGGUUGCUCCACGUGUCCUGGAUAAGGUUGGAGUCGAUCAGGAGACAACUGCAUUUGAUAGUGGGGUCCACUAUACUUCUAUCCUGUUGAUGAGAUUGUGAUAUUCUUCAUCAGUCUCUGAUGGAGGGGAAUCCGGAUCUUGGCUGUAUUGCUCAUUCCGGAAAUGUUCUACAUCAUCCGCGGUCAUGGCUAGUUCCAACGGAAGAUCCAAAUUAUUUCUCUUUUUGAGAUUUAUUAACAUGUCAAGAGCCUCAUUAAUUUGUGUAGGAGACCUUUGAUAUGUUAUGGGAAAAUGGGUUACAAAUAAUAUUCUACCAUCUGUAACCAUAAAUGGCAAUUUUGCUGAGCCAUGGAUGUUGGACGCUACUUGUGAAACAGAUAUUAGACUGUCUAUCCAAUAUUCUGUCAAAGAAAGUUUUUGGAUAUUUUCCAA